AGUUGAGAAAGGCAGGAGGAAGACAUGUUGCUGAAGAAGGCAGCUGUUUAAUGUUUCAUGUUAUUUGCAGAAGUUUGAAAUCUCCGUUCUAGGCUGUUUUUA